GAUGAACGCUGGCGGCGUGCCUAAUACAUGCAAGUCGAGCGAACAGACGAGGAGCUUGCUCCUCUGACGUUAGCGGCGGACGGGUGAGUAACACGUGGAUAACCUACCUAUAAGACUGGGAUAACUUCGGGAAACCGGAGCUAAUACCGGAUAAUAUAUUGAACCGCAUGGUUCAAUAGUGAAAGACGGUUUUGAUGUCACUUAUAGAUGGAUCCGCGCCGCAUUAGCUAGUUGGUAAGGUAACGGCUUACCAAGGCAACGAUGCGUAGCCGACCUGAGAGGGUGAUCGGCCACACUGGAACUGAGACACGGUCCAGACUCCUACGUGAGGCAGCAGUAGGGAAUCUUCCGCAAUGGGCGAAAGCCUGACGGAGCAACGCCGCGUGAGUGAUGAAGGUCUUCUGAUCGUAAAACUCUGUUAUUAGGGAAGAACAAAUGUGUAAGUAACUAUGCACGUCUUGACGGUACCUAAUCAGAAAGCCACGGCUAACUACGUG
rnacentral:rRNA from 1 species